rnacentral:tRNA from 1 species
GUAUAUAUAGCUCAGUGGUAGAGCUCAUGCUUAGCAUGCACAAGGUCCUGGGUUCAAUCCCAGUGCCUUCU